CAACAGUUGAUGACACGAUAAUGACAAUUGAACUGUAACAAUUGACGACUGUGACAACACGCGACUAGGGCUGUUAUUCCCUUUUCGCCCUAGUUAUUAGUCAUCGCUGCAGCAGAGACCAGUAAACGGAACAAUGCAAUACGAAUGACGAAGUCCCGUUGCGAUGGAGAAAAUAUAAAACAAAUAAUAUUUGAUACCUGCACACAAAUACAUUUCGGUACAUACAUACGUUUGAAUAUACACAUACAUAUGUACCUACAUUCAUAUGCACUCGUAUCUUGAACGAGGAAAUAAAAUAUCUCACCAGGAGCUUUCCAGAGCCGAUUCAUUCAAAUCUGAAAAGCAAAACAAAUACAUUCAUAUAAUGUAGGGGAAAAUGAGACAAAAUUAGCUACAUAUGUACUAUGUAUUGUAUAAAAAAUCGACGUCUUCGCAUUUUUUCUGCAUCUCUGCAAAAAUCGCGACUAUUCCAUGGCACUCAUGUAAAGAGUAUUCCCUAAGGGUACUCCAAAAUUACCUAAAAUGCUUAUAAAAAAUGUGGCAAUGAUGGUUUACAAUAAGCUGUUAUAGAGAUACGCUUUGGUCCGCUACUGCACUAGAGAGGAGCAUUCCAACAUGGCACAAAUGGACCACAUAGUCCAACGAUUUUUGCAGUGAUGUGAAGCACAAUCACAAACAAUCUUUUUACAUACAUAUGUACAUAUUUAUUUAUGAAUGCAAAGUAUUCGAUGGUGUGGUCUAGUCUGGCAUGCUCGUCCAUCGUUUGAUCACUUUGUUGGACAGUAUAUUCAUACAUACAUAUUUACAUCAAUAAGUCGAUAGCCUGACAAUUCGACUAACUUUACAUGGUAAAGUGAUGGCGAAAAAUUUGCAAUGGCGAAACGUGAUUUUGACCAAACAAAAUAUGUACAUAUAAAAGAGCGGAACGUACUCGCGUUGGCAUAGCAGCGAUGACGAAGACGACAACACAACCAACCACAUACCAUAGCAACAACACAUACAUUUCAGCCGUGCUAAAUGUCCGACCAGACGUGGCAAUGCAAAUAGUUUCGAAAAGUUUCUCAAACUCAGAAUUUUGAAAAAUAUUUGCGGCAGCAGCCCCUCUAUGCAUCCAAAGGCAUUUUCCAGAAUAGGUUAUAAUUUCGAUUGUCGAUAUUUUAUACAAUAUUACUGUUAGUAAAUAUUGCACACAAAAUCUCCAACAAGUGUGUCACGCGGCAACACUCGAUUGGUGCGACAGUACAUUCAGCAAACGAAUUUCACUUGCUCAUUUUGACAGCAGAACGCAUUGAGAAAGCACUUGCGUUGCCACAUCUGAAUGCACUUUAUUAACAAGGCAUGUUUGGCAUGCCGCUAAACUGGUGUUGUUGGUGCAGUUGGUGCCGCAUCUGUGGCAGAUGCUAGUGUUGCCGCUGAAUGGGUUUCACGUUUUCGUUCAACGAACUUAACGUAAGAGUAUGGGCUUUGGAUGGAUACGUCUACAUAUAUCAGCAAGCGUGGGGCGAACUUCGGGAAACACCCUGCCUGUGUAAAAAGAAAUCAGGCAAACUGGUAAAACAAAAGCGAAACUCGGAGGC